rnacentral:lncRNA from 1 species
GAAGAAAUAAGAAAAACCACAAUUGAUCAACUAGAAAUGGAAACCAUGGAACUCAGCAGAUUCUACUUUCUGUUGCAAACUCUGCCUGAGAGGAAGCUAGAAGGGAGCUAGAAGAGAGUGUCAGAGAUGCUCGCAGGUUAAAUAUCUGUGAGAUAAACCAAAUGCAAACAAGAAUUAAUACAAAGAAUGAUGAAAUAAAGUCUCUAAAGAAGACAAUAAUCAGCCUGAAAAAAGUGAAUGAAGCUCUGGGGAGUUUUUUUACAGCUCACAAGGAAAAACUGGAUGAUUCAUCAAAAUAUGAAAAAAAUGAACACCUGUAUAAAAUAAAACAGCUGGCUGAAAAACUGCACAAAGUUAAUUUAGAGAACAAAGAGCUACAAGAGAAAAUGAAUGCUAAUUUACAACAGUAUAGGAUUGUGUUAACUGAAGAAGAUCAAGUUUUUUUGCAGAAACGGAAACUCUAUGACGCGUAUGUUUCUACCCAUGAUUCCUUGGUGAAUCAACGUGCCAUAGUUAUGAGGUGCUGA